UCCCUGGUGGCUCAGAUGGUAAAGCGUCUGCCUACAAUGCAGGAGACCCAGGUUCGAUCCCUGGGUUGGGAA
rfam:TPA: Bos taurus chromosome 15, whole genome shotgun sequence.